GAUGAACGCUGGCGGCGUGCCUAAUACAUGCAAGUCGAGCGAACAGACGAGGAGCUUGCUCCUUUGACGUUAGCGGCGGACGGGUGAGUAACACGUAGGUAACCUACCUAUAAGACUGGGAUAACUUCGGGAAACCGGAGCUAAUACCGGAUAAUAUUUCGAACCGCAUGGUUCGAUAGUGAAAGAUGGCUUUGCUAUCACUUAUAGAUGGACCUGCGCCGUAUUAGCUAGUUGGUAAGGUAACGGCUUACCAAGGCAACGAUACGUAGCCGACCUGAGAGGGUGGUCGGCCACACGGGAACUGAGACACGGUCCAGACUCCGACGGGAGGCAGCAGUAGGGAAUCUUGCGCAAUGGGCGAAAGCCUGACGGAGCAACGCCGCGUGAGUGAUGAAGGUCUUCGGAUCGUAAAACUCUGUUAUUAGGGAAGAACAAACGUGUAAGUAACUGUGCACGUCUUGACGGUACCUAAUCAGAAAGCCACGGCUAACUACGUG
rnacentral:rRNA from 1 species